rnacentral:rRNA from 2 species
CAUACAAAGAGAAGCGACCUCGCGAGAGCAAGCGGACCUCAUAAAGUGCGUCGUAGUCCGGAUUGGAGUCUGCAACUCGACUCCAUGAAGUCGGAAUCGCUAGUAAUCGUGGAUCAGAAUGCCACGGUGAAUACGUUCCCGGGCCUUGUACACACCGCCCGUCACACCAUGGGAGUGGGUUGCAAAAGAAGUAGGUAGCUUAACCUUCGGGAGGGCGCUUACCACUUUGUGAUUCAUGACUGGGGUGAAGUCGUAACAAGGUAACCGUAGGGGAACCUGCGGUUGGAUCACCUCCUUACCUGAAAGAAGC